rnacentral:rRNA from 1 species
UGGGGAAUAUUGGACAAUGGGCGCAAGCCUGAUCCAGCCAUGCCGCGUGGGUGAUGAAGGCCUUAGGGUUGUAAAGCCCUUUCGGCGGGGAAGAUAAUGACGGUACCCGCAGAAGAAGCCCCGGCUAACUUCGUGCCAGCAGCCGCGGUAAUACGAAGGGGGCUAGCGUUGCUCGGAAUUACUGGGCGUAAAGCGCACGUAGGCGGCUUGUUAAGUCGGGGGUGAAAUCCCGGAGCUCAACUCCGGAACUGCCUUCGAUACUGGCAAGCUCGAGUCCGGGAGAGGUGAGUGGAACUGCGAGUGUAGAGGUGAAAUUCGUAGAUAUUCGCAAGAACACCAGUGGCGAAGGCGGCUCACUGGCCCGGUACUGACGCUGAGGUGCGAAAGCGUGGGGAGCAAACA